UACGUAGGGUGCAAGCGUUGUCCGGAAUUAUUGGGCGUAAAGAGCUCGUAGGCGGUUUGUCGCGUCUGCUGUGAAAACUUGGGGCUUAACUCCAAGCUUGCGGUCGAUACGGGCAGACUUGAGUUCGGCAGGGGAGACUGGAAUUCCUGGUGUAGCGGUGAAAUGCGCAGAUAUCAGGAGGAACACCGGUGGCGAAGGCGGGUCUCUGGGCCGACACUGACGCUGAGGAGCGAAAGCCAGGGGAGCAAACGGG
rnacentral:rRNA from 1 species